GUGUGUGACGCUGAAGAGGCCGCGGCCAGGUGAGUGUCACUGCAGUGUCACCUCAGUGUCACCUGUUUGUGUCACCUCAUUGUCACCUCCCUGUGUGCCUUUGUGUGCCCCCUUUGUGUCCUUGUGUCCCCCUGCACGACCUGCUCAGGUGUGUGACGCUGAAGAGGCCGCGGCCAGGUGAGUGUCACUUCAGUGUCACCUCCCUGUGUCACUUGUCUGUGUCACUGUGCAUCCCCUCUGUGUGUCCCUGUGUGCCUCCUGUGUGUCCCUGUGUCACCCCCGUGUCCCCUUGCACGACCUGCUCAGGUGUGUCACCCUGAAGAGGCCACGGCCAGGUGAGUGUCACCUCCCUGUGUCACCCUGUGUGUCCCUGUGUGUCCCUGUGUCACCCCCGUGUCCCCCUGCACGACCUGCUCAGGUGUGUCACCCUGAAGAGGCCGCGGCCAGGUGAGUGUCACCUCAGUGUCACCUCCCUGUGUCACCUGUCUGUGUCAC